rnacentral:rRNA from 1 species
UACGGGGGGGGUAAGCGUUGUUCGGAAUUACUGGGCGUAAAGGGCUCGUAGGCGGCCAACUAAGUCAGACGUGAAAUCCCUCAGCUUAACUGGGGAACUGCGUCUGAUACUGGAUGGCUUGGAGUGGGAGAGGAAUGCGGAAUUCCAGGUGUAGCGGUGAAAUGCGUAGAUAUCUGGAGGAACACCGGUGGCGAAGGCGGCAUUCUGGACCGAUAUUGACGCUGAGGAGCGAAAGCGUGGGGAGCAAACAGG